rnacentral:rRNA from 1 species
CCUACGGGCGGUAGCAGUGAGGAAUAUUGGUCAAUGGGCGCGAGCCUGAACCAGCCAAGUAGCGUGAAGGAUGACUGCCCUACGUGUUGUAAACUUCUUUUAUAAAGGAAUAAAGUGCGGCACGUGUGCCUUUUUGUACGUACUUUAUGAAUAAGGAUCGGCUAACUCCGUGCCAGCAGCCGCGGUAAUACGGAGGAUCCGAGCGUUAUCCGGAUUUAUUGGGUUUAACGGGAGCGUAGAUGGGUUGGUAAGUCAGUUGUGAAAGUUUGCGGCUCAACCGUAAAAUUGCAAUUGAUACUGGCAGUCUGGAGUACAGGUGAGGUAGGCGGAAUUCGUGGUGUAGCGGUGAAAUGCUUAGAUAUCACGAAGAACUCCGAUUGCGAAGGCAGCUUACUAAACUGCCACUGACAUUGAUGCUCGAAAGUGUGGGUAGCAAACAGGAUUAGAUACCCCGGUAGUC